CCGAAAAGAAAGGGUUAUCGGGUUUGACGAUAAGAAAUAAUUUCACUUGAGUCAAGUUUGGUGCCAUAAAUCACGAAUUGGACCGGAGUUUAUCCUGUGUGCAAAUAGACAGAGCUACAAAUAAAUCUUCCAGCUUACCUGAGAAUUCAGCAAAAUCCAAACCAUCCUCAGAGGACAGAUAAAGCCUGCUGCGAAAUUGGUAAUGUGCUUUACAAGGGGAGGCGGGAGGGGGAGUUUCAACGCACACUGAAGAGUCUACAUGUUCCAGGCUAUCCGGCUGUUUUGACUUUAUUGCUCUCUGCUUACUCUGGACGGCUUCUCUUUCUGCAAAAUCUUUUCAAAUCAGACCAUCAGGAGAAGGAAAUUGCACUCCUUCCAACUGAUUCAGCGUCCUGCAAAUGCAAACUAUUUGCCUUACACGUUUCUGCAGAUGUCGGGGGGUACUGGUUUUUCGGUGAGAUGUAUGCAUUAAAGUGAGAGAGAGAGAAAAGGAGCCCGGCAAACAAGCUGGGCCAAGUCGAGGGGGAAGAAAACCCUUAUGGAAUCCGUUCACGUGACUUAAAAAUAAUUGUUAGCAGAAUCUGGAUCAAAUCUGGUUAUUACGCACAUACAAUAAAGUUUCUGUGGUUCAUUGUUAGGCUAGUAUGCUUGCAAACUGGCAGUACAUUUAUGCGGAGUUGAUUUAGGAAACAGCUGCUCCAGUCUUGAGGAGAGCUAAGUCCCAUUACGUUGCGAAGGAGGUGGAUCCAAUUACAGACGUGUUUUAUUGGAAUGCCAGCCCGGAAGCUGAAGAUAUUGUAUCAGCCGCUGUGUUAUUGUAAUUAUCUUGUUUUGAUUGAUCAUAGCCAAUAGUAAGAAUAAUAUAAUGUACUUGACUGGAGUGAUGAGACAUUUAAUUAAGCGCUAUGUACUUUUACUAAUGAUCUUUUAUUGUAAAUAUUAGGAAUGGUACUUAAUUAUGAGUGCAAACAAUGCACAUUCCUGGAUCUAGUUUGGUCAGGUAUCAACAUCAAAUGCACCCAUUAAAUAGCAGCAAGAUCUUUAGGAUGAUCAAAUGUAUCCUUUCAUCCGAAUGGGUGCAGAGCUUAUAUCAGCAAUAGAAUGGAAAUGAAGGAAAUCAAGAUUUUGACAAUAAGGAGAAUCAUUAAUUUGUACUAAAACACAAAAAUAAAGACAAGUGUUUCUCUA